UACGUAGGGUGCGAGCGUUGUCCGGAAUUAUUGGGCGUAAAGGGCUCGUAGGCGGUCUGUCACGUCAGGAGUGAAAACUCGGGGCUCAACCCCGAGCCUGCUUCUGAUACGGGCAGACUAGAGGUAUGCAGGGGAGAACGAAUUCCUGGUGUAGCGGUGAAAUGCGCAGAUAUCAGGAGGAACACCGGUGGCGAAGGCGGUUCUCUGGGCAUUACCUGACGCUGAGGAGCGAAACGUGUGGGGAGCGAACAGG
rnacentral:rRNA from 1 species